AUUGAACGCUGGCGGCAGGCCUAACACAUGCAAGUCGAGCGAGCGGCGGAUGGGUGAGUAAUGUAUGGGGACUGCCCGAUAGAGGGGGAUAACUACUGGAAACGGUGGCUAAUACCGCAUACUACUGGAUAACCCAUUUGGGGUUAGCUAGUAGGUGGGGUAAAGGCUCACCUAGGCGACGAUCUCUAGCUGUUCUGAGAGGAUGAUCAGCCACGAUGGAACGGUGACGCUGACCAGACACCUACGGAGGCAGCAUGAGGGAAUAUUGCACAAUGGGCGGAAGCCUAAUGCAGCCAUACCGAGUGUAUGAAAAAGACCUUAGGGGUGUAGAGUACUUUAAGCGGGGAGGCGUUACCCGGAGAAGAAGCACCGGCUAACUCCGUGCCAGCAGCCGCGGUAAUUC
rnacentral:rRNA from 1 species